rnacentral:lncRNA from 1 species
CAUGGAUGUGACGUCUAUCCAACACUGGUGUGACAUGGAUGUGACGUGUACCUAACAAUGGUAUGGCAUGGAUGUGACAGACGUGACAUGUAUACACGACAAAUGUGAAACUGACGUGCUCUGCAUGUGACAUAUAUAUCUGAUAGAUGUCUGCCUAUGGACGUGGCAUGCAGAUAACACCAUUUGACAUGGAAGUGGUAUGGAUGCAACUCGGGGUGACAUGGAUAUGACAUAGAUACAACACAAGGUGACAUGGAUAUGACAUAGAUAUAACACGAGGUGACAUGGAUAUGACAUAGAUACAACACGAGGUGACAUGGAUAUGACAUAGAUACAACACUAGGUGACAUGGGUGUGACAUAGAUACAACACAAGGUGACAUGGGUGUGACAUAGAUACAACACGAGGUGACAUGGAUAUGACAUAGAUACAACACUAGGUGACAUGGGUGUAACAUAGAUACAACACGAGGUGACAUGGAUAUGACAUAGAUACAACACUAGGUGACAUGGGUGUAACAUAGAUACAACACUAGGUGAUAUGGGUGUGACAUAGAUACAACACUAGGUGACAUGGAUGUGACAUAGAUACAACACGAGGUGACAUGGAUGUGACAUAGAUACAACACGAGGUGAUAUGGAUGUGACAUAGAUAAACACGAUGUGACAUGGAUGUGACAUAGAUAUAACACGAGGUGAUAUGGAUGUGACAUAGAUACAACACUAGGUGACAUGGAUGUGACAUAGAUACAACACGAGGUGACAUGAGUGUGACAGAUACAACACGAGGUUACAUGGAUGUGACAUAGAUACAACAAGGGGUGACAUGAGUGUGACAUAGAUGCAACAUGAGGUGACAUGGAUGUGACAUAGAUACAACACGAGGUGACAUGGGUGUGACAUAGAUACAAUACGAGGUGACAUGGAUGUGACAUAGAUACAACACGAGGUGAUAUGGAUGUGACAUAGAUAGAACACGAUGUGACAUGGAUGUGACAUAGAUAGAACACGAGGUGACAUGGAAGUGACACAUAGAUACAACACGAGGUGACAUGGAUAUGACAUAGAUACAACACAAGGUGACAUGGAUGUGACAUAGAUACAACACAAGGUGACAUGAGUGUGACAUAGAUACAACACGAGGUGACAUGGAUGUGACAUAGAUACAACACGAGGUGAUAUGGAUGUGACAUAGAUACAACACGAUGUGACAUGGAUGUGACAGAUGCGACACUAGGUAACAUGGAUGUGACGUAGAUACAACACGAGGUGACAUGGAUGUGACAUAGAUACAACACGAGGUGAUAUGGAUGUGACAUAGAUACAACACGAUGUGACAUGGAUGUGACAUAGAUAUAACACGAGGUGAUAUGGAUAUGACAGAUAUAACACGAGGUGAUAUGGAUGUGACAUAGAUAUAACACGAGGUGACAUGGGUGUGACAUAGAUGCGACACUAGGUGAUAUGGAUGUGACGUAGAUGCGACACAGGUGUGACACAGAUACAACACGAGGUGACAUAGAUAUGACACGUACCAACUCCAUGUGUCAUGGAUGUGACAUAGAUAGAACACGGGUUUUCACUGGUAUGUCCCACCUAUAACAUAGGGGUGAAAAGUGUAUAACACCAUGAGACAUGGAUGUAACGCAUGUAUUCAAUAUACAUGUCACAUUGAUGCUACAUGUUAUAAGUGUAUAUUGUUUGUUGGGUAAGACUUAUUCUUCUACUCCUCUUAUACUCUCAACUUUGAAUUGUGAGGCUUUGAAUAUUGGAGAUACACGAAUACUAACGCAUUUAUAUCGUCUUUACAUUAGAAUUCGUAAUUAUGUCGAAUUGUAAAUAAUGUACAGUCUCUACUGAAAUGCUGCCUUUGUUAAAAUGGGAAAUAGAAAGAACAGUGUUUUAUGUAGAUUUCGGUCAUAGCAAUUUCAAAUGUCCUCAUAACAUGUGAUAAUUUCCUCGUAUUAUCGAAAGUAAUUAGUAAAACCGCAUGACCCUUA